CAUCUGACAUUCAUUUCGCAGACUUGUGCCUGACAUAAGUAGGAAUAGACAGAUCCAUGGUCUCGAAGCUAAUAUAUGCAAGUAAUAGAUCAACGGUCAUUUGCUGGCUGCUCCUGAGUGCUUCAAUCGAGUUACGAUUUCUUAUCACGAAUAAAUAAGUAUUUUCUCCGUGAGCUAAUAGAGAGUUUACUCACUUCCUUUGGCGAAAGUAUGGAUAUGUAAUCGUCGUAAAUGUAGCGCGCCUUCUCCUCGAUCGUCUCGGGAUUGUUCUCCCUCUUGAGUUGCUCGCAGGCAAGCCAGAAGGCAAUGUUUUCCUCACUGUACUCGCUCAUGAGGAACUCUCUGAAGAGCUUGCGGCCGGCGGCGCUCCUCAUCAGUUUGUCGAAGGACGAGCCCCAAGCCCGAACCUCUUCCAAGCUGCAGCGCUCCAGACCGCCGUCGAGGCCGUCGAGUCCAUCGAGACCGUUACCCGCACCUGCACCCGCGAAGUCGGUGACGCUGAUGCCACUGCCAUGCUCGCCGA